rnacentral:rRNA from 1 species
UACAGAGGGUGCGAGCGUUAAUCGGAAUUACUGGGCGUAAAGCGUGCGUAGACGGUUAUUUAAGUCGGGUGUGAAAGCCCCGGGCUCAACCUGGGAAUUGCAUUCGAGACUGAAUAGCUAGGGUACGGUAGAGGGAAGCGGAAUUUCCGGUGUAGCGGCGAAAUGCGUGGAUAUCGGAAAGGAACAUCGAGUGGCGAAAGCGGCUUCCUGGA